GCGGGACUCAUUUUCCUUAAAAUUUGGACUUGUACAGUAAGAACUUCAACUGACCUUCUUCAGACUGAGGGCUGUUCCCAGUAUAUACAUCAGGUCACUGAGUAGAGACCGGGUUUCGCCGUGUUAGCCAGGAUGGUCUCGAUCUCCUGACCUCGUGAUCCACCCGCCUUGGCCUCCCAAAGUGCUGGGAUUACAGGCGUGAGUAACCGCGCCCGGCAGUAGUACCUACUUUUUAAAGUGUAAGCAAGGAAAGUUGGCCCGCACCUGUAGUCCCAUCUACCUGGGAGGCUGAGGUGGGAGAAUUGCUUGAGCCCAGUUGGUCGAGGCUGCAACGAGCCUGAUCACGCCACUGCACUCCAGCCUGGGCAACAGAACAAGACCCUGUCUCAAACAAAAAAGUGUAUGUAAGAAUAAAAAUUAAUAGAUUAGGCACAGGAUGGGUGUUUAAUUCUCGGCAAUCACCACUAAGUUUUCAUACGGAGGCUUAUUCAUUCCAUGGGCAAAACAUUGCGCUAUGUGUGGUGCCUGGGGUGGGCUCCAAAUUCCAGUCCUCUCUUCGCUUGCGAUAGCUGUGUGAUCCAUUCCUAAGUUUCCUUAUUUGUCCACAGAGCGUACACAGGGUUUUUAUGAAAACUAGAUCAGAUAAUCAGACACAGUUAAAAUAGCACGCGCUCAGUAAAAUUACGUAUUAGUGGAAGAGACAAGCCUUGAAUAAAGCAAUCGCCUUUCGGGGAGUAUGACCCCCUCCCCGAAACCCACUCAGGCGCUGCUCGCUCGCACGCCCACUGAGCUCGGAGCGGAGCGCGAGCCCUUUCCCAGCACACAGGGUUCAUUUCCAGACUUUGAAAGACAUCCCAGAGACAACUCCAGAGGCCAAGGCGGGUCGGCUUCCUGCGUGGACCCAGCGCCGGGCACUGAAAGGUGAAGGCGCUUCUUCCCGCUCGGAGGAAAGCCUCUGGCGGUUCUCGCUUCGCGGGCUCGGGAUGGACACGCGCGUAGGGCUGGGGAGGUGACGCGCGGACAACCCCGGGGCGAGCAAACUACAACUCCCAGGCAGCUGUGCGCCACGCGGGCGGCCUACUGUCGGGUGUGGCCGCGAGGGGCGGCCUAUAUAAGCUCUUGCUCGCGGCUUCAGCGCCCUUUCUCCCCGCCGCAUGCCCGGUGUCGUCUUACUAGUUGCAAGCGUCUGCCUGCCUUACUGUGCGCCGUUCCCCGCUAGUCGCUGCUGCUAGCGCGCACUCGCCGGGUUUUUCCUCCCACGGCCUCGAGAUGGUGGUGAAUGUGGCACGGAGGAGCCGGGCCUUCCCACCCGGUGGGCCCGAGCUCCGAAAGGCCCCCUCGGCAGUGAGAGGGACGGGAGCCCGCGGGGGCCGCGCCCUUCUCUCGCUGCGGACUGCGCAACGCUGCGCUCUGGGCUGACAGGCGGAUAAAACGGUCCCAUCAAGACUGAGAAAAAGCACACCAGAUAUUGGCACAGCGUGGGCAGUGGGGCCUACAGGAUGACUGAUUUAGUCUGCAGAGAUUCCGGCGUACUUAAGCAGGUAGUAAUGGACAGAUGAAGACUCUUAAGAUGACAGAAGGUGAUUUUUCUGGUGAUCGAGGACUUCCGGGGUCAUGACAGUGAUGUGAAAUGCAGGGGACCUGGUUGCCCCCAAGUUUCCUGGCAGUGUGUGAUACUGAGGAGGUGAGCUUGUUUCUGGAGCUGUGCUUUAAGGUAAAGUUGAUCAGCGUAAUCCUCCUGAUCCCUUUCCCAUCGGAUCUGAACACUGGUCUUGGUGGUCGUAAAAGGAGGAAAAGUAAUAGUGAAGCUGGCCUAAAUGUUGUCAUCUGGUAUAUGGCAUGUGGGCUAGUUUCAGACAGGUUCAGAGAUGGUUGGAUCUCUGAAAUUGUAAAACGAAAUAUAAUCUUAGGCUAAGGGAAGGAUGUGUGUGAGGCUCUGGAGGUUGGUAUAGUAAUAGCUGACCUAUUACUGCAUUUGGGAGGGAUCUGUCAUAGCUUCCUUGCCUCUUAAUUAAGGGUGGUGU